rnacentral:rRNA from 1 species
UUCCUUGGAUAACUGUGGUAAUUCUAGAGCUAAUACAUGCAAAUAGAGCUCCGACCGGAAACGGAAGGAGCGCUUUUAUUAGAUCAAAACCAAUCGGUGACGGGUUCGCUCGUCAUCGUACAACUUGGUGACUCUGAAUAACUUUAAGCUGAUCGCACGGUCUCGCACCGGCGACGCAUCUUUCAAAUGUCUGCCUUAUCAACUGUCGAUGGUAGGUUCUGCGCCUACCAUGGUUGUAACGGGUAACGGGGAAUCAGGGUUCGAUUCCGGAGAGGGAGCCUGAGAAACGGCUACCACAUCCAAGGAAGGCAGCAGGCGCGCAAAUUACCCACUCCCGGCACGGGAAGGUAGUGACGAAAAAUAACGAUACGGGACUCAUCCGAGGCCCCGUAAUCGGAAUGAGUACACUCUAAACCCUUUAACAAGGAUCAAUUGGAGGGAAAGUCUGGUGCCAGCAGCCGCGGUAAUUCCAGCUCCAAUAGCGUAUAUUAAAGUUGUUGCGGUUAAAAAGCUCGUAGUCGAAUCUGUGUACCGCGCCGUCGGUUCAUCGCUUGCGAUGUUAACUGGCGUGCCGCGGGGACGUCCUGCCGGUGGGCUUAGCUCUUCGGGGCGGCCCAACUCAAUCCUGCCGCGGUGCACUUUAUUGUGUGUCUCGGUGGGCCGGCACCUUUACUUUGAACAAAUUAGAGUGCUUAAAGCAGGCUAAAAUUUCGCCUGAAUAUUGUGUGCAUGGAAUAAUGGAAUAGGACCUCGGUUCUAUUUUGUUGGUUUUCGGAACACCGAGGUAAUGAUUAAUAGG